rnacentral:rRNA from 1 species
CCUACGGGAGGCUGCAGUGGGGAAUAUUGCACAAUGGGGGAAACCCUGAUGCAGCGACGCCGCGUGAGCGAAGAAGUAUCUCGGUACGUAAAGCUCUAUCAGCAGGGAAGAAAAUGACGGUAUCUGACUAAGAAGCCCAGGCUAACUACGUGCCAGAAGCCGCGGUAUUAAGCAGGGGGCAAGCGCUAUCCGGAUUUACUGGGUGUAAAGGGAGCGUAGACGGCAGCGCAAGUCUGGAGUGAAAUGCCGGGGCCCAACCCCGGGACUGCUUUGGAAACUGUGCAGCUAGAGUGCAGGAGAGGUAGGCGGAAUUCCUAGUGUAGCGGUGAAAUGCGUAGAUAUUAGGAGGAACACCAGUGGCGAAGGCGGCUUACUGGACUGUAACUGACGUUGAGGCUCGAAAGCGUGGGGAGCAAACAGGAUUAGAUACCCCUGUAGUC